AUUGAACGCUGGCGGCAGGCCUAACACAUGCAAGUCGAGCGGAGCGGCGGCCGGGUGAGUAAUGCCUAGGAAUCUGCCUGGUAGUGGGGGAUAACGUCCGGCAACGGGAGCUAAUACCGCAUACUUUCAGAGGAGCGUAGGGCGGAUAGGGUAGUUGGUGGGGUAAAGGCCUACAAGGGCGACGAACCGGAACUGGUUUGAGAGGCUGAUCAGUCAAACUGGAACUGAGACACGGUCCAAACUCCUACGGGAGGCAGCAGGGGGGAAUUUGGGAAUAUGGGAGAAAGCCUGAACCAGCCAUGCCGCGUGUCUGAAGAAGGUCUUCGGAUUUUAAAGCACUUUAAGUUGGUAGGCGGUACCAACAGAAUAAGCACCGGCUAACUUCGUGCCAGCAGCCGCGGUAAUUC
rnacentral:rRNA from 1 species